rnacentral:rRNA from 1 species
GUAGGUGGCAAGCGUUGUCCGGAAUUAUUGGGCGUAAAGCGCGCGCAGGCGGUUCUUUAAGUCUGAUGUGAAAGCCCACGGCUCAACCGUGGAGGGUCAUUGGAAACUGGAGAACUUGAGUACAGAAGAGGAAAGCGGAAUUCCACGUGUAGCGGUGAAAUGCGUAGAGAUGUGGGGGAACACCAGUGGCGAAGGCGGCUUUCUGGUCUGUAACUGACGCUGAGGCGCGAAAGCGUGGGGAGCAAACAGGGAUUAGAUACCCUGGUAGUCCACGCCGUAAACGAUGAGUGCUAAGUGUUAGGGGGUUUCCCGCCCCUUAGUGCUGCAGCUAACGCAUUAAGCACUCCGCCUGGGGAGUACGACCGCAAGGUUG